UGAGAACGGGCCAUGAUGACAAUGGUGGUUUUGUGGAAUAGAAAGCGGGGAAAGGUGGGGAAAAGAUUGAGAAAUCGGAUGGUUGCCAUGUCUGUGUGGAAAGAAGUAGACAUGGGAGACUUUUCAUUUUGUUCUGUACUAAGAAAAAUUCUUCUGCCUUGGGAUCCUGUUGAUCUGUGACCUUACCCCCCAACCCUGUGCUCUCUGAAACAUGUGCUGUGUCCACUCAGGGUUAAAUGGAUUAAGGGCAGUGCAAGAUGUGCUUUGUUAAACAGAUGCUUGAAGGCAGCAUGCUCGUUAAGAGUCAUCACCACUCCCUAAUCUCAAGUACCCAGGGACACAAACACUGCGGAAGGCCGCAGGGUCCUCUGCCUAGGAAAACCAGAGACCUUUGUUCACUUGUUUAUCUGCUGACCUUCCCUCCACUAUUGUCCUAUGACCCUGC
rnacentral:lncRNA from 1 species